AUUUACAACCGGUGAAAACCUCUCUUCCACUCAUAGACAAAGCAAAACUCUCCAUUGAUUUCCCAAAAGGUGGUUUUUUUUCCACAAAUUCGAUGUGGUUCUCCAGAAAUUUAUUAGUUUUUUUUUAAAAAAAAAAAUUUUAUGGUCCAAUUUCAUAUAUUUUUGUAGCAAAGCAGAAUUGAAUUUUGUGGGGAAUAGAAAUUGGGAAGAAAUGGGCAAUCUGUUCAUAUGCCUGGCCAAUUCGCCUUCUGUCAAUAUUAGUACUUCGGUUUCAGCUAAUUUAAUCUGAGAAAGCCAAUAACUUGAUGUAUCCAACCUAUCAAAUCUGCAUUUGCUGCAUUUCUCAACACUGUGAAAAGGUGUAAUGCUACCAGAAAGUCGAGGCUUCGCCACAACGGGCAAUCUCUCAGGAGCAGCAACACCAACUCUAUUUUCUUGGAAACACAAACUUUUGUUUCUUGGUUUUGAUCUGUUAACUUCUAUAGUAGCUUUCUUCGCGCUUUCGUUCGCUGAAUCUUCUGCAGAAUCAAUUAAAGAUUGAGCCUUUUUUGGCGAUUUGGAUGAUUUUAGGACAACUCUAGAUAAUAAUUUUGUCAAUAUCUUUCCAGAAACUGUCUUUGAUGGAACAUUUGUGCUUCGAACUGUGCCAAAAACUGAGUUGACAAGAGUUUUUGAUAACUUAGUUGCUUCAGUUGAAUCGAAAUUGAAUUUGACAGGUUUUCAAUUUGAAUCUAUGUUGCAAUUCCACUAGAAGAGCCGUGUCACAAUUUUUUUAAAAAGAAGAGGUUUCCACCUGAAGGGAUGAAUCUAAUUUUUUUGAGAUACGACAGGUAUGCUUCGAAGCACAACAAGAAGAGUUUAGAAUUUGCUGAAUAUUAAUUGUAUUGUCAUAGGGAUGCAUUGCUUAUUGAGGCAGACAUUGUUUGGCAUACUAGAUGCUAUAAUAUUUCGUCUGUUCAUUGCGUUGCUUUCACUGCGGUCAUUGUUGUCGAAUUUAUUCUAUUGAUGCAACCAUAAUGUUGUGUUGUUUUUUACUAAAAUCUAGAAUCUAUCUGAGUAGCAUUGAAUUUAGGUGAAAUUUUUUCCUUUUGUUCAUUCUUCUUCUUUUUGUUUGUCGUUCUCAUUGUUUGUCCUGAUAGUGGCAUAUUAUUAAUUAUCUGUAAUUGACGUA